rnacentral:rRNA from 1 species
AUUGAACGCUGGCGGCGUGCCUAAUAAAUGCAAGUCGAACGGAGUGUCGCCCGGGUGAGUAAUGUAUAGCUAAUCUGCCCUCCCCUAUAGGACAACAGUUGGCAACGACUGCUAAUACUCUAUAGUGUAGGAUGAGACUAUAUUGUAUCAGCUAGUUGGUGAGGUAAUGGCUCACCAAGGCUAUGACGAAUAAAUGUUAUGAGAGGAUGAUCAGUCACACGGGAAAUGAGACACGGUACAGACGCCUACGGGAGGCAGCAGUAGGGAAUAUUGCUCAAUGGGGGAAACCCUGAAGCAGCAACGCCGCGUGGAGGAUGACACUUUUCGGAGCGUAAACUCCUUUUGUUAGGGAAGCGGUACCUAACGAAUAAGCACCGGCUAACUCCGUGCCAGCAGCGGCGGUAAUAC